GAUGAACGCUGGCGGCGUGCCUAAUACAUGCAAGUCGAGCGAACGGACGAGAAGCUUGCUUUUCUGAUGUUAGCGGCGGACGGGUGAGUAACACGUGGAUAACCUACCUAUAAGACUGGGAUAACUUCGGGAAACCGGAGCUAAUACCGGAUAAUAUUUUGAACCGCAUGGUUCGAAAGUGAAAGACGGUCUUGCUGCCACUUAUAGAUGGAUCCGCGCUGCAUUAGCUAGUUGGUAAGGUAACGGCUUACCAAGGCAACGAUGCAUAGCCGACCUGAGAGGGUGAUCGGCCACACUGGAACUGAGACACGGUCCAGACUCCUACGGGAGGCAGCAGUAGGGAAUCUUCCGCAAUGGGCGAAAGCCUGACGGAGCAACGCCGCGUGAGUGAUGAAGGUCUUCGGAUCGUAAAACUCUGUUAUUAGGGAAGAACAUAUGUGUAAGUAACUGUGCACAUCUUGACGGUACCUAAUCAGAAAGCCACGGCUAACUACGUG
rnacentral:rRNA from 1 species